AUAAAACUUUAAAAGUGUUUGUAUCCAUCGUUUUAAAUUCAUUGUGUUCUGAUCAAUGAUUCAAUUACUCUGUGAUGAAAUAUAACUUAAAACUUUCUCAAUAUUGUCAUUUAUACCUACUAGGAGAAGAAUAAUCAGUUUUCUCCAAUGGAGUGACACAGGGGAUAUCAACUCUAGGACGGGCCUCAUCUUCAGAAGUAACUGACCAGCAUAUAAUGGACUCCAUGGGCUUUUGUGGGCUUUUAUUUGGUUACAGUUCCAUGUUUUGCUGUUUUUUUUUUCUUGGAGGUAUGUGGUUCUAUUUUGUUUUCUUGUCACAUUAAGGUUUUGUUGUUUUUUUGAGAAAGAACUUAGAUUUUGGUGUGUAGGGAGGGGGAGAAGAUUUGGAAGGUCUUGAGGGAGGGAAAGAAUGUCAUGCAAACAUUUAAAUUUAACAUGAAGAAUUCGUGAAUAUGAAUAAUGUCUGGACUAGGAUAAAAAAAGCUUCCUCAGUUCAUUGUAAACCAAUAGUUUUAUAGAACACUGUAACAUGAUCUUGCACUUGGCUUUGGGCAAUGCUAAAUUGCUAUGAAUGUUUCAAAAUGUUUAUUCUCAACCUUUGUGCUCUGAUCAUUCACAUGUGGCUUAAGGGAUGGCGUCUGACCAUGGAGCAGUAGACCUGAAUCUGUGGGCAGUGGCCGGUCUCACUGCACCCACAUCAACAGUAUCGGGGACCUGGUUAGAGAUGUGGUGCUGACGCUCCUCAGGCCUACUAAAUAGGACUGAGCUAAUGGAAUUCUCAGAUGACCACUUCUCAUUAAAGUUGGAAAAAAAUGUGUUCUGGAGGAAAACCAGGUAUAGACGUUGAGGCAGCAGACAGAAGAGGUUCAGUGCCUUUCAUCCACAAAGUGGACUAUAGGGGCAUACAACACCUUAAGAGACAUGGGUGGCUAUGACCGGUCCUCCAAUCAGGGGAGUCUCUUGGUCGGAAGGUGCCUUUGAGCUAGCCUGGCUCAUGGAUAGUGCUGGGAGAACAAGGUGGAUUCACACUUAAAAUUUUUUUCUGUUUCAUCGGAAAAGAAAAGUGUGUUCUUUCUUAAUUACAUAAUUAAAGGAACAUGACUUUAAUAAUUACCUGUUCUAAACCUCCAUAUUUUUAGAUAUGUAUUUAAGUUUUUCUUCCUCCUUUUUUUCCCUCAGUCUAUAAUGGAAGGCUUUUGCUUCUGAACAGUAGCAUUGUUCUGAGCAGUGUUGUUCACAAACUCUCACCAUCAUGUUAAUCUUAAGCUCUAGGCUAGGACCAUGUCUACCUACCUUUGGGCCGUGUGUGUGUGUGUGUGUGUGUGUGUGUGUGUGUGUGUGUGUGUGUGUGUGUUAAUGCUGGUGGUCACACUGCCUAGCCUACCCUCAGAUCUGUGAUAAUCAUCCUGCUUCAACAGGAUGUGAACCAGCAUGCCAGCCUACCCUCAGAUCUGUGAUAAUCAUCCUGCUUCAACAGGAUGUGAACCAGCAUGCCAUGUUGUCUGUUAACCUUGUAAUUCUCUUCCCUGAUCUUAAAUGCUUGGUACCUGGUGAAAACCCAAUAAACAUUUUUUUUAAAAAAAAUAAUGAAUAACAUUAUAGAUAUCUAGAAGAUAAAUCCUUCAACCAUGGAAGGAGUAUUCUGUAAGAUGCUCAUUAAUGGGCCAAUUCGUUUUUAUAUUUUCCUAACACAUUCUGUACAAAUAAACCUGUCAGGUCGUAAAAUACCAG
rnacentral:lncRNA from 1 species